rnacentral:rRNA from 1 species
UACGUAGGGUGCAAGCGUUGUCCGGAAUUAUUGGGCGUAAAGCGCGCGCAGGCGGUGUGUCACGUCGGCCGUGAAAACCUGGGGCUCAACUCUGGGCGUGCGGUCGAUACGGGCAUCACUAGAGUUCGGCAGGGGAGACUGGAAUUCCUGGUGUAGCGGUGAAAUGCGCAGAUAUCAGGAGGAACACCGGUGGCGAAGGCGGGUCUCUGGGCAUUAACUGACGCUGAGGAGCGAAAGCAUGGGGAGCGAACAGG